CUAGAAGCUAGGAGAGAGGCAUGGAAUAAUUCUCCUUCAGAGCCCCCAGAAAGAACCAAACCUGUGGAUACCUUGAUUUUUAGCCCCUAGAACUAGGAGUAUGACAACUGGGACUUGUCUUAUCAUUUAUCCACAGUACGUGGGAAAAUGGCUGGCACAUGGGACGUCAAUAAAUAUGUGCUCAAUGGUGAACCACCUAGUGCUUUAUAUUCUACAAAUGUCUGCAUGUUUUUUGUCAUCUUUAUGGAAAAGAAGGCACGUCUUAAAGUCGUUCAAGUCCUUCACUUUUUCACAUUGAGGUCUGUCUUCAUAUCCACUUAUCUUUCAAGUCUAUUAAACCCCUUAUAAAAACUUUACUUUGAAAUAUUUUAAAA
rnacentral:lncRNA from 1 species